ACUCUUUACAGCUGGCAAUUUGCAUGGGGGUACCAGUUGACCUUAAUUCAUACUUUCUUUUCCCUAUUUGGAAUUGAAUUUAUUCCCCCCCUCUUUCUGAAUCGUUUCAAACAUAUGAAUGACCCGAGAGAAAACAGAAGAAAAGAAAAGAAAGAAAAGAAAUUGUAUGUGAGUCAAUUUGUAUGAGUCGAUUUAUAUCUGAGUCAAUUUAUCUCCCCUGCCCUCUUUCUCUAGAUAUAUCUUGUUCUCAUCAAUGAUCUGCAACCUGCAUUGUACAUCAAUUAGUACGCCUCUGAAGCAACGCACAGCAAGAGAAAAAGCAAAAGACGGGAAACCACCUCGAAAACAACAUUCUCAUACAAUUCAACAGAAAAGAUAAACAGGCAUAAUGUGUGAUCAUAUUGAAGUCACGUAUCGCUGUGGCCAUAUGCGAAUUCUAGUCCAUGCCUGGUGCACGAAAUAUGCCAGCACCCAUAGACCUUGCGCGGCAAACAUUAUUUCAAGAGAACACAGAAUUGACGAAAAUUGUGGACCAUGCAAAAGUUAAAGAGGGUAGCUGAUUGGCCCCCCUCCCCUUUUUGCUUUCUUUUGCUAUUCUCUCGACAUCCCAUUUAUCAUUUCUCCUUGCAACCAUCAAUAUUUUCAAUUCCUCUACCACAAGCAUCGAUCAGGCACCAACAAUGAUGAUUCCAUGAUUUUCAAAAAAAGAAAAAGAAAAAGAGAACAGGGAAAAGAAAAGUCUCGAAUUCAGAAAAAGCAAAGCUAUAUUCGAUUGCUUAGGGCGGAUAAUCUUUCCACGGUCUCGGAACCAAUGCCAUUUUUAAGCUUUUGGAUCCUGUGGAAAUUUCCCUUACGAAAUCUUGAACAAAAAGCAUCGCAAAUGGCGCAUGACGAUAAAAAAUCAGUUUGGAACAUUCUUCAAACUUGGACGGCAUAUUUUUUUUUUUCGGUGACUUUGAUUUAUGGCCAUUUACAUUUAUUUACGUUGGUUUUAUCCAACCGGCGGCUGGACCGCUACCUCGAAAUUUUCGGGCGUUUAAGACUCAGCGAGAUUCCUACUUCUAAGGCUUACUAGCUUUUUUUUCCCCUUCUAAUUCUUUCUCCCUGAUCAUGUUUUGGCUUUAUUAUCAUUUCUCGGGAGUUUGCUUGAUUCUUUCCUUCUGUCUUGAGCGGCAUAGAUAAAAUUUGGGACCUGGGCAUUCGGCAUUGGUGUUCAAAACUCUUUCUUUUUUUUUUCUUCUUCCCUCUUUCCUGCUUCUGCUUUAUUUCCGGUAGUUAAAUGGAGCGUGUUUGCUGUUUAGCAUUACAUCAAAAUUGUCAGAGCUUCUUUUUUUCUUCUUCUUCGUAUUCGUAAGGACCGUCUGGCUCAUGAUCAUUUCAUUCUUUCAACUCUGUGACCCACAUCAAGCUUGCUACAUACUCUGUACUACUACGUGCUACGAGACUACGAGUAAAAUUAGAUUAGUUCACAAUUUAACACGCCUGCUAAAUCUACGGAGGCUCCAUGCCGGUCAAAGGCCGUACCUGGUCUAUAUUUUUAGUUGGAGGUUUUAAUUCCUGUUCAAUGGACAUGAUAUUGUACCUCGGUACAAUUUCACCUUCUUCACAGCAUAGGUAUCUAUAUGGGGGUAACAAGUACCUAGGUUAGGAAGCGAAGGAAAAGCAAACGCUUCCAUUAACACUGAGCUGUCGUUCGUUGUCAAAUGUCGCGUGAUGAGGGCAACGGCAAUCACGUGGCUCCAAAGAAUCCAAUUGUUCAUUUCUUUAAAAAAAAAAAAAAAAAAAAAACUACAAAACCAUACACGGAGCCCCUUCGAACUACUACUCCGUACCAGUAUGUAUGUAGCAAUAUAGACGAAACGAGAAACCCGCCGAGAAAUAGAGGGGAAAAAACUAGAAAAAAAGAAACGAGAAGAGUCAAGAAAUCUCUUACAAACCAGGUGAUUAGUAUAUAUGUAUGUAUGAUGCUAUCGGUGGUCCACUAUUCAUCCUCGAUAUGUACUGGUAGACGGCCCGCUCUUGCCGACCCGUUGAGAUGAGCCGUCCUGCAGAGUAUCGGUCCUAUCAGACGAGGUGUAGAGUAAGUAGUACAUGUAGCAAGUAACAUCAAGUAACAUCACCGCCAUCUUUGAUCCUUCCAUACCAUUAUAUGAGAUCACCUGCAAUAGGCAAUAGGCAUUAGGCACCGGAUCUGGAUAUAAUACGUAGUAUGCAUGCUACCAAGUUCUUCAGGGUAACAUAACCAGGUUGGUUAUUGGUCACAUGGCACGAUGAAACUU
rnacentral:lncRNA from 1 species